rnacentral:lncRNA from 1 species
AUAGUAGGUGCUCAAUAUGUGCUUGUUGAAUAAAUGUGUCAAUGUUUGAUGUACAGACCUUUUAUUAUGUUUGAUUUGCUGCCAGUGCUGCCUCCAAACACAGGAGUGCUUCAUGAGAUGUUCACAAAAGCUCUUAAAAUAUUCCACAAAAAUCUUAAAAUAUUUCAUGAGUUUUCUUUCCUGUAUUUUUAUAGCAGCAUCUGGAAUUUAGCCUGCAUAGGACCCUCUGUAAGCUGACCCUGUUUAUCUAUUCAGCUUUACUUCUCCCCUCUCUCCACUUUGUAUUUUAUUCUCUACUACUUCCAACUGAUUGUAAUUUGACCAGACUCCAGACUAUCUUAUGCCUCUUUGCUUUUGUUUACCUGUUACUUCUCUCUGGAAUUCCCUGCCCCUUCUUAAUUUUUCUGGCCAAUUCUCACUCUCUAGGACUCAGAGGUUUCUCCUCAGGAGACUUCCAUGAGUCUCAUGUUGAGUUAGGUGACCCCAAUCCUCUGUUCUUCAUAGUCAUUCGCGCAUUUAUCUAGCUCAGCAUUUGCCAUACUACAUUGAAAUUAUUUCCUUAUGUGCCCAUCACUCCCCGUAGAUUGCAAACUCCUAGAGAAGGGCUCAACAGUGAGUGCUGAGGCUGCACAGAGGAGGAAGGCAGCACAAUGAUGGAAGGCUUCCUAAAGAGAUAACACUAACAAAGUUGACCUUAGAAUUGGAGUGCCUGGGUUAGAACCCUGCUGGUACCACCUGCUUACUGCAUGCUUCUGAUGUGAGUUCAGGAGAAGACACUGGCAAGGACAGCAAAGAACAGGAGAACACUCUAGCUUCCCUGAUAGCAUUCAAGGUGCUGUCCAAAGUGACUGACUGUGAUGGCACCCUCCAGACAGACAGCGAUGCCACAUGUUCAAGAUGGCAGAAUCACUAUCAGCUUCAAUUCCUGAAUGACUGCAGAGCAAAAUUUCUUACCUGCAACAUACACUCUAUUUUCAGCCUCCCUGGACUGUUACAUAAUGAUACAUAAAAAUAUUUCUUGUGUUGAGGCAUCCCAAAUUUGAUUUAUUUGUCAUCACAGUCUAUCCUAUGAAUAUAUUUCUGAUCCAAAUAAUGCUAGAUUCAUGAGAGUUUAUAGUCCAGAGAUUUUUUUUUUUUUUUUGAGACAGAAUCUGUCUCCCAGGCUGGGGUGCAGUGGCAUAAUCUUAGCUCACUGCAACCUCUGCCUCCCGGGCUCAAGUGAUCCUCCCUCCUUAGCCUCCAUGAGUAGCUGGGACCACAGGUGUGCACCACCACACCCCGCUAAUUAUUUUGUAUUUUUUGCAGAGGGGGGUUUCACCACAUUGCCCAAGCUGGUCUCAAACUCCUAGACUUAAGGGAUCUGCCUGCCUUGGCCUCCCAAAAUGCUGAAAUUACACUUGUUAGCCAUAGUAAUAGUUCCUAGCCAUAGUCCGGAGAUAUUUUAAAAACUUUAGUGUGAGUUAUUUCUCUUUGCUAUAAUUCUCUCAUGCAUUUUGAAAACCUUUUCUGCCAUACAGUGGUUUUUGGGAAGUCCUUUUGGACAGACAUAUCACAGGAUGGAGAAACUAAAAAGAGAGAAUGCAUUAAAGAAAAAAUAGUACUUCGUAUUUCAGAAAUUACAAAAGGGUGUCAUGCCCCACAGCAUGGUGGGCAGUCAUUUGUAACCCACAGAACAUUGAGUUUCUAAAAUUUGAGUGUUUUUAACUUACGAAGGCCAACUUUACUGAUGAAGUGAUUACCCCAAAUAUGUGAAAUCCAUAUUUCAAGUACAAUAGUAGGAAAUUGGAAAUGGGCUCUUGAGUUUCUGCUUUCAAGUGACCCUCAGAAAUUCCUCCAUUCACUGCAGAGGUUCUGUUUCUCCUUGCUUUGUUCUGACUUUACGGCAGAACUAAGCUAAUGAGUUAGUUACUAUGGGUUAUCACUUGGAUUUGAAGAACCAUCAUUUCUAGGCAUUGCUGCUCAGAGUGGGUCUGCCCUCAGGGGAAGCUGUCUAACCAGAGCCUAACCCACUAGGGUUUUAUCAGAACCUAACUGACCUGAGGAAAAGAAAUACUCAACUCCAGCAAGCUCCAGCCUUCCAAAUGGAGGAGGAGAAAACCCAACUCCAGCCCACUUCAGCUAUCUUGUCCCACAUAAAGGGGAAGUGGAAGAAACCUGAGAAGCAGGCAUGAAGUUCACAGUCCAGAGGUAUACAAGCCACGCUGAACAUCUGAAAAUCAAUUCAUGUGAUCCAUCACAUUAGCAGACUCAAGAAAAAAAACCACAUUAUCAUAUCAGUAGAUGUAGAAAAAAAAAAUUAACAAAAUCCAGCACCCAUUCACAAUGAAAAUGCCCAGUAAAUUAGAAAUAGAAGGUAACUUCCUCAAAUUGAUAAGGAAUAUCUCUAAAAACCUACAACUAAAAUCAUACUUAAUGGUAGAAAACUAGAAGCCUUCCCAGUAAGAGUAAGAACAAGUCAAAGAUGUAUGCUCUCACCAAUGCUUUUCAACAUCAUAUUGGAAGUCCUAGCUAGUGCAAUAAGCAAAAAAAAAAAAAAAGUUAUAUUAAUAAGAACAAAAACUGUGUUUGUUUGCAGAUGACAUGAUUUUCUAUGCAAAAAAUUCAAAAUAAUCAACAACAAAAAAAUCCUGAAACUAAUAAAUGAUUAUAGCAAGAUUUCAGGAUAUGAGAUUUAUAUACAAAGGUCAAUUACUUUCAUAUAUACAAGCAAUGAACAAGAGGGAUUUGAAAUUAAAAACGAAACUAUUUACAUUAGUACCCCCAAAAUGAAAUCCUUAUGUAUAAACUUAACAAAAUAUGUACAAGAUACAUAUGAGAAAAA